UACGUAGGGUGCGAGCGUUAAUCGGAAUUACUGGGCGUAAAGUGUGCGCAGGCGGCAGAGCAAGUCGAGUGUGAAAGCCCCGGGCUUAACUUGGGAAUUGCGCUCGAGACUACUUUGCUGGAGUGUGGCAGAGGAAGGUGGAAUUCCACGUGUAGCGGUGAAAUGCGUAGAGAUGUGGAGGAACACCAAUGGCGAAGGCAGCCUUCUGGGCCAACACUGACGCUCAUGCACGAAAGCGUGGGGAGCAAACAGG
rnacentral:rRNA from 1 species